rnacentral:rRNA from 1 species
UACGGAGGAUCCAAGCGUUAUCCGGAAUCAUUGGGUUUAAAGGGUCCGUAGGCGGUUUGAUAAGUCAGUGGUGAAAGCCCAUCGCUCAACGGUAGUGGAACGGCCAUUGAUACUGCAGACUUGAAUUAUUAGGAAGUAACUAGAAUAUGUAGUGUAGCGGUGAAAUGCUUAGAGAUUACAUGGAAUACCAAUUGCGAAGGCGAGGUUGACUACUAAUGGAUUGAGCUGGAUGGACGAAAGCGUGGGUAGCAACAGG